GGUGAUGUGGCGACGGGUGAGUAACACGUGAGUAACCUGCCCUUAACUCUGGGAUAAGCCUUGGAAACGGGGUCUAAUACUGGAUAUUGACUUUUCCUCGCAUGGGGAUUGGUUGAAAGAUUUAUUGGUUUUGGAUGGACUCGCGGCCUAUCAGCUUGUUGGUGAGGUAAUGGCUCACCAAGGCGACGACGGGUAGCCGGCCUGAGAGGGUGACCGGCCACACUGGGACUGAGACACGGCCCAGACUCCUACGGGAGGCAGCAGUGGGGAAUAUUGCACAAUGGGCGAAAGCCUGAUGCAGCGACGCCGCGUGAGGGAUGACGGCCUUCGGGUUGUAAACCUCUUUCAGUAGGGAACAAGGCCAGUGUUUAGCUGGUUGAGGGUACUUGCAGAAGAAGCGCCGGCUAACUACGUGCCAGCAGCCGCGGUAAUACGUAGGGCGCAAGCGUUAUCCGGAAUUAUUGGGCGUAAAGAGCUCGUAGGCGGUUUGUCGCGUCUGCCGUGAAAGUCCGGGGCUCAACCCCGGAUCUGCGGUGGGUACGGGCAGACUAGAGUGAUGGAGGGGAGACUGG
rnacentral:rRNA from 1 species